rnacentral:rRNA from 1 species
UACGUAGGCAGCAAGCGUUGUUCGGAGUUACUGGGCGUAAAGGGUGCGUAGGUGGCUCUAUAAGUAUGGUGUGAAAUCUCCCGGCUUAACUGGGAGGGUGCGCCGUAGACUGUGGGGCUAGAGUGCGUGAGGGGUGACCGGAACGAGUGGUGUAGCGGUGAAAUGCGUAGAUAUCACUCGGAAGGCCAACGGCGAAGGCAGGUCACUGGUGCGCAACUGACGCUGAGGCACGAAAGCGUGGGGAGCAAACAGG